CGUACAUAUUAAUGAACCAUUGAGUCUCCCACUUAGGAUUCCUCCAAUGUAACGGCAACUCCAAGGCAUGAUUGAUUAGAAGUGAUAUAUGGUUGUCGUUGUCCUGGUUCAAAUAUUCUUCCAGAAAUUCGGAGGGAUGAAGACAUUGUUUCACGAGGAAAAGAUAUUUUAGUAAAGCUGAAUGGGAGUGAAGCAAUUUUGAGCAGAGCCAUUAGAAAAUAAUCUAUAUUUUGGACGAAGUUUUCUUCACUCUUUGUGGAUUUGUUAUGUUAUUAUGAAACCCAUGUGCUGUGGUCUGGUCAAUUUGGCUAGCCCGUAAUGAUUUGGUUUUUAACCAAAAGGAAUUUGUUUAUGAGCAUGUGUGGGACCUGCACUUGUUAAGGGUUAUGUCGUGGACAAAAGCAUGGUGGAAAGGUUGUCCCUACUCUAUUGUUGAUUUCUCUUAAAAUUUUGAAAACAUUAAAACUUUGGGAAAAGUGAGGAAGAUAAGAAACUGUGUUUGGUGCCCUCCGGAGGCUAAUAUUCUCAAAUUUAAUGUUGAUGGUUCUGCUAGAGGAUCCCCCGGCAUUAGCGGAGCUGGUGGAAUUCUGAGAAACGUGGAGGGCGCUGUCUUGGGCUGGUUUUCUAAACCUUUGGGGGUUUCUUGGGCUUAUCAAGCUGAAGUAAAAGCCAUUCUUUUGGCGCUGAUUCUUUCCAAAGAAUUUGGGUUCUCUCAAAGUUAUGGUUGAAAGUGAUUCUACACUUGCGGUGGGUUGGGUCCGUUGCAAAUCCAAUAGACCUCUAGCGCUUAUAAAUGAUCUGAAUGCUAUCGAUUGGAUUAUGAAGGAGCUUGCGUGGGAGUGGCUCAUACACUUAGAGAAGCAAAUGGUGAGGCCGAUGAAUUAGCAAAGUCAGGGUGCGAUAGAAUUGAACCAAUCUGGGAGAAGCUGAACUGAAUUUUCCUUACUCUAUGACUAUAUAUAUUUUACUGCAUGUUUUCUUUACAGCUCCUCUGCCAAUGGUAGUGUUUCCCUGCACUGGUAUUUGCACAUUAUGCUGUGAUCAUGAAGCUGUGUUAUUUGCUAGUUCCUACUUGUUGUUAUCCUAGGUGAUUGGUCUACUGAAGCUUGGCUGAUGGCUCGUGGCUUUCUAUAAUAGAGGGGAAUUGUUUGAAGGCUGCUCUCUCUUGAAUGCUUUGCCCCCAUUAUUAUUUUCAUUUUCUGCCCCUUGUAAUGCUUUCUGUUCUGCAUCUGCGCUCUUUUUCUUUUUGCUGUCCGUGUAGUCCUUUGUGUGGAACUUUGGUGCUGCAUCUUGUACUGUUUCUUUGAGCUACCUUUUUGCUCUUGGUUACCUCUCCUUAUCAAUAAAGAUUUUGCUUUCAAAAAAAAAUGAAA